AUCACUGGUGAGCACUUACAGAACAUCUGCAAACAGCAGGAGGGGCUGGCACGGUGUGUUCCCCUGGCAGAAGACAUCUGUAACGCUGGCACAUCAACUGGCACAGGAGAGCUGUGCUGAGCUCCUGGACAGCAUCCAGAGAGGGGAGCGUGGAGAGAUCACCUCUAAAAUUCAGCUAGGGUGCCACAAGGAGAAAGGAAAUCCUGAAGAGAGCUGGCCUGCAGCAAGGUACAGAACAGGAGAAUUUAAACCAAGCAAUCCCUCCCAUUUCUUGGCUUGGAGUUGGCUUUGUCAGUCUUCAGUUUUCAAAGGGGGAAAGAAACCCAACCUGUGGAUUUUGUGCCAGAUUUCUAAACCUUUCUUUGUGUGGUGAUCUCUCAUCAGAGCAGACCCUGCUUCUGCAGAGGGCUGGGAGCAGGAAUUGCUGCUGCACAGGAAAUGUGAUUGCCAAGCACUUGGCACAUCAGUGCUGGCCUUCAGGAGGUGCCCUUGGUGACAAAUGAAUGCCCAGAACUCCUGGCUGGAGCAGUGUGAGGUUUUGGUGCUUGCCCAACCUCAAAUACCAUCCUUUGAGCCCAUAAGAAAGUCUCUGGUUGGUGUGGCCUUGGCUGUCAGAGUGUGGGGCUUUGUUGGCAAUAAUUCCUGUUCCAAGCCAAAAAAAGCACUCACGGAAGGAGGAAGCUGCACCCUGAACAUCUCCAGAGAGCCACCGGUGCCAGGGCCAGCGCUGGCGUGUGAAGCACCAUCCUCAGCGUCUGAAGAGGGCACAGGGACAUUCUCACCGUUAAUAAAGGGUUCUUUGGAAACCUCUCCAACACAGCUGGAGUGCAGGAAUUACUGAAAGUGCUCACAAACUCCACUUCUGGGGCUGUAACUCAGCUGAGAGCUCUGGGUUUUACAUGGCAGUUGUUCGAUCCCGCCGCUUUUAAUGAUCUCAGAGUAAAAGGAGAGUGAUUUCAAAGGAAGUAAAACAUUUCGCUUUCACCAGUGAAAAACUUCCUCCCAAGGUCUAAUUCGUGGUUUGAAUGAGCUCUCUAGAGCACAGCUGCUUGAGGUGUCUGCUGGGUGGGGGGAGAGGCAGCAGCUUUGGGUGGAAAUAGCUAAGCUUUGGUCACAGAUCUGUUCCUGCUGUUGCCUUCUGUUUAACUUCAGUGUGUGCUGUUAUGUAAUGGAAAGAGAAAAAUACAUCUGAAAGCAGCAAUAUGAAAGGUAACAGUGCAUUAAAAUAAUACCAGAUAAACCCUGUGCAGGAGGAGGAGACCCCUGAGCCAGAGACUGUCGCCUCUGACGAGGUUAAAACCGAGCAACUGACAGGAGUUCAACACUUCCAGUUUUUGCUCUUUUGUGGCAGAGGUAUUUGUUUAGUUUUUGACCUGAAGUUGCAAUUAAAUAAGCUUUCCUAGCUUUUGUAAGAGUCAGUUUUUCAGGCCAUUUUCAGUUUUUCAGGCCAUUAAUCAAUGUACAUUCAUUUAAAAGUGCCAAAGCCUGGGAAGGCUCUGGCAGUGCCAAACCACCUUUCUUAUUUCCCUAGCUCGAGGUGUAGAGGCAGCAGAGAGAGCCUGUCUGCCCUGGUUAGGCUGAUCUCGCCAGGAGCCCGAAUUUAGCUGACACACAGAUGACACCCACAGCCAGCUCUUCCCUUCCCCAGAGUUUUUCCCAUCUGUUUCCGAGGAGAGGAAAAGCAAAUCAGAGGCUGGGUCAGUUUUGUUGCUGUUUUGUUCAGGAGAGAGCAGGCUCUGCUUCCUCCAGGUGCAACAUUCAUCUACCAAAGCAGAUUUAUUUUCUUCUUUAACGUUCAGGUUUUAAUGUGGGGUUAGAUUUCAUCCCUGUGGGUGUGGGAGCAGGACCUCCACAGGAGUUCCAGCAUCCCCAUGAAGAAUUUCAUGGAUAUCCAGGUUCAGCUGCACAUGGAUGGUGGCUUGGCCACGUCUGCACCAGUCACCUCCUGUCGUGGGUUUAGCAAAAAUGCAAACCAGCCCAAAAUCAAGGGAUUUCCAGGGGCCAGGGUGGCCCUGCAGCACCCAGCUCCCCUUGUCCCCUGCACAACCUCAGCGUGAGGAUGGGGAGAGGCUUGGGAACAUCUCACUGAAAUUCCUCUCUGCUGAUGCCCAAAUUUGCAGCACAGGGAAAAUCACAGCCUUUAUGAAGCGCUGAAGAAAAUAAGCAAAACUUUAUAUUCCUAAACUGUUAAAGUAAGAGCUGAAAAUCCUCCAUACACUUAAAAAUGUUCCAUACACUUAAAAAAUCCAGGAUUCCAUUUCUAUAUUUUUCUGAUUGUUGCUGCACUUUCAGAAGCUCUCAUUUCACACGUGGAAAUUGGUGAUGAGCAGAUUAAGGGAUUUCCUACCACCUGUGGAGUUAUUAGAACCAGCAGAUGCUGGUAAUGCUGGAAAGAGAAUUCUAGCUCAGAAUUCAGAUUUCUUUCAUUUGCACAUUUCUGAGAAAUGGAAUAUAUGUGACUCCUAAUGAUCUAAGUUAUUAGGAAAAGAAAGCUUUAAGGGAUCUUGCCCCGAGACUGUGUCCUAUUAAUUCUAAAUGUAAAAUAAUUUCUCUGAUGACAAUGGAAAACUGCACAGUAAUUACAGGGGCCCAAGAGAAGAAAUUACUGUGCAGUCUCAAGUUAUCAAACAGCUCCAACCUUUUUUAAUAUCACAGAAAUACUUAGGCUUCAUGCAAAAAAAUCAGAGUACCCCAAGGUAGUCUAAUUUCAUCUCCCAGCAAACAGAAAUCUUUUUUUCUGUGAAUGCAAAUCACAUUUUUAUUACAGCAAAGAGCAAUGAGUAUUUUUUUUUUCCUUUUAGCUCAUUGGAAACACAGCUGAUGUAAUUGGACAAUUGAUGUAAUUGCAAAUGCAACUGCAGUAAUUGCACAUGCAAAUAAGGGAUUGUUCUCAGGGCUAUAAAACCUCUGGGAGCAGGUGCAAUGCACUCCUGCAUUGCCUGGCUCAUAAUUGGAUGGGUAUUUUGCACCAAGGCUUUAAUGCAGCUCCUACCUCCUUAUUUAUUUGGGAACAGCUCCGUUCCCUAAAUAUGAAAUAUCCUUUACACAGAAAGCAAUAAAAAUAAUGGGUUCCCCAUAAUACUCCGGGCUGGGAAUGCAUUAUUUCUAAACUGUGGUGCCUUUUACUUUAUGGAGAGUGAAAUAAACACUUAGUGGAGAUAAAACUUCAUUUAAGCUCCACAUUCAGCAGGACCAUCCGGAACAUUUGCUGGUUCCAUGGCAGUGGGAAGGGAGCAUGGCAGGCAAUAGUUUAUGAUGGUUUUUUUUAAACCUGUUGUUGCUAAUGAUAACAUUUUAAAUGUAAUAACUUUUCCUCUCACUCCUUAUCUUUCCAGUUGCCUUGGCAUCAGCAGCUGCUAUGUGGUAAAAUCCUCCUUUGUGUGUGAGGAAAAGCCAGGAGUUUGUGCAGCCCAAGUGUUUUACAGCUCUGGCCUGAGCUGCUGGAGCUCAGCAUGGAGCUGGGCACACUCAGCUCAUUCUUUGGGCUGGGAAAAUGCCUCUUUUCCUCGUCUGCCCCUCCUUUUUCAGCCCCUGACUGCAGUGGAGGCAUCAGCAGAGUGUUCCAACAGCACCAGGCUUCAAGGGAACUGGUGGAGCCAGAUCCAGGUUCCAUUGCUCAGGAGGAACUUCCUGGGAAGCUCUGCCACCUCUGGGGGGUUUGGGGCUUUCCAGAGGGCCUGCUCCGAUGGAGGAAAGGCUUCAGAGAGUCACAGAAUCACAGAGUCACUGAAUCACAGAGUCACAGAGUCA